AUACUUACCGGGCAGGGGAGAUAUCAGGUGGAUUUCCCAGGGUGAGGCUUAUCCAUUGCACUCAGAGACUGCUGACUCCUGCUAUUUCCCCAAAUGCAGGAAACUCAACGGCAUAAUUUGUGGAUGUGGGGAACUAGAUUUGUAGCCUACAA
rnacentral:snRNA from 1 species